ensembl:lncRNA
AGGUCGUGACAGGGACGUCGGGAUGUGUCGUGACAUGGGGCGGUCGGGAGGUGGGGAUGUCGUGACAGGGAUGUUGGGAUAUAGCAUGACAUGUGGAGGUCGGGAGGUGGGGAUGUCGUGACGUGGGGAUGUCGGGAUAUAUCAUGACAUGGAGAGGUUGGGAGGUGGGGAUGUCAUGACGUGGGGAUGUCCGGAUAUAUCAUGACAUGGAGAGGUUGGGAGGUGGGGAUGUCGUGACAUGGGGAUGUUCUGAUAUGGGGAUGUUGGGAUAUGGCGAUGUCGUGACAUGGGGAUGUCGUGACAUGGAGAUGUCGGGAGGUGGGGAUGUCGUGAUAUGGGGAGGUUGGGAUAUAUCAUGACAUGGGGAGGUCGGGAGGUGGGGAUGUCAUGACAUGGGGAUGUUCUGAUAUGGGGAUGUUGGGAUACGGCGAUGUCGGGAUAUGUAGAUGUCGUGACAUGGAGAUGUCGGGAGGUGGGGAUGUCGUGACAUGGGGAUGUCGGGAUAUGGGAAUGUUCCAAUAUGGGGAUGUCGGGAGAUGGCGAUGUCGUGACAUGGGGAUGUCAUGACAUGUGGAGAUGUCAGGAUAUGCGGAUGUCGUGACAUGGAGAUGUCAGGAGGUGGGGAUGUCGUGACAUGGGGAGGUCAUAACGGGAGGAUGUCGUGACAUGGGGAUGUCAGGAGGUGGGGAUGUCGUGACAUGGAGAUGUUGGGACAGGAGCAUGUCAUGACAUGGGGAAUAUCGGGACAUGGGGAUGUCAGGAUGUGGAGAUGUCAUGACAUGGGGGUGUCGUGACGGGGAUGUCGUGACAUGGGGAGGUCAGGAGGUGGGGAUGUCGGGACAUGCAGAGGUCGUGAUAUGGGAAUAUUGCGACGGGGAUGUCGUGACAUGGGGGCGACGUUAUGGGGGGAUGUCGUGACAUGGGGAUGUCGGGACAUUGGGGAUGUCAUGACAAAGAUGUCAGGACAUGCGGAUGUCGUGACAAGGGAUUGCUGUGACAGGGGGAUGUCGUGACAUGGAGAUGUAGGGAGGUGGGGAUGUCGGGAUAUGGGCAUGUCGUGACGUGGGGACAGUGUGACAUGGGGAUGUCGUGACAUGCAGAGGUCGUGAUAUGGGGAUGUCACGACGUGGGGAUGUCUUGACAUGGGGACAGUGUGACAGUGGGAUGUCAUGACGUGGAAAUAUCGUGACAUGGGGGAAGUGUGACAUGGGGAUGUCAUGAUAUGGGGAUGUCGUGACAUGGAAAUAACGUGACGCAGAGGUGUUGUGACAUGGGGACAGUUUGACAUAGGGAUGUCGUGACGUGGAAAUAUUGUGACAUGGGCACAGUGUGGCAUGGGGACAGGGGGACAUGGGGAUGUCGUGACAUGGGGAUGAUGUCAUAUGGAGAUGUCGUGACGUGGGGACAGUGUGACAUGGGGAUGUCGUGACGUGAGAAUGUUGUGACAUGGGGAUAUCGUGACAUGGGGAUGCAGUGACAUGGGGACAGCCUACUAUGGGGGUGUCGUGACAUGGGGAUGUCGUGAUAUGGGGACAGUGUGAUAUGGGGAUGUCAUGACAUGGGGACAGCGUGACAUGGGGAUGAUGUGACGUGGGGAUGUCGCGAUAUGGGGAUGUCGUGACAUGGGGACAGCGUGACGUGGGGAUGUCGUGAUAUGCGGACAGUGUGACAUGAGGAUGUCGUGACAAAAGAAUGUCGUGACACGGGGAUGUUGUGACAUGGGGACAACGUGACGUGGGGAUGUUCUGAUAUGGGGAUGUCACGAUAUGGAGAUGUCGUGACAUGGGGAUAUCGUGACAUGGGGUUGAUGUGACAUGGGGAUGUUGUGAUGGGAUAUCGUGACAUGGGGAUGUCGGGAGAUGGGGAUGUUCUGAUAUGGGGAUGUCGCGAUAUGGGGAUGUCGUGACAUAGGGACAGCGUGACGUGGGGAUGCCGUGAUAUGCAGACAGUGUGACAUGGGGAUGUCGUGACAAAAGCAUGUCGUGACAUGGGGAUGUUGUGACAUGGGGACAGCGUGACGUGGGGAUGCCAUGACAUGGGGACAGUGUGACAUGGGGAUAUCGUGACAUGGGGAUGUCAUGAUAUGGGGAUGUCGUGACAUGGGGAUGAGGGUGGCAUGGGGAUAUGGUGACGUGGGGAUGUCGUGACAUAGGGACAGUGUGACAUAGGGGUAUCGUGAUAUGGGGAUGUCGUGACAUGGGGAUGUUGUGACCUGGGGAUGAUGUCAUAUGGGGAUGUCGUGACAUGGGGACAGCGUGAUAUGGGGAUGUCGUGACAUGGGGAUGAUAUCGUGACAUGGGGAAAGUCGGACACAGGGACUGUGUGAUGGGGAUGUAGUGACAUGGGGAUGUUCUGAUAUGGGGAUGUCACGAUAUGGGGAUGUCGUGACAUGGGGAUAUCGUGACAUGGGGGUGAUGUGACAUGGGGAUGUUGUGAUGGGAUAUCGUGACAUGGGGAUGUCGGGAGAUGGGGAUGUUCUGAUAUGGGGAUGUCGCAAUAUGGGGAUGUCGUGACAUAGGGACAGUGUGACAUGGGGAUGUCGUGACAAAAGCAUGUCGUGACAUGGGGAUGUUGUGACAUGGGGACAGCGUGACGUGGGGAUGCCAUGACAUGGGGACAGUGUGACAUGGGGAUAUCGUGACAUGGGGAUGUCAUGAUAUGGGGAUGUCGUGACAUGGGGAUGAGGGUGGCAUGGGGAUAUGGUGACGUGGGGAUGUCGUGACAUAGGGACAGUGUGACAUGGCAAUGUCGUGACCUGGGGAUGUCGUGACAUGGGGAUAUCAUUAAAUGGGGAUGUCGUGACAUGAGGAUGUUGUGAUAUGGGGUUAUCAGGACACGGGGAUGUUGUGGUAUGGGGAUGUCGUGACAUGGGGAUGUCGUGACAUGCGGACAGUGUGACAUGGGGAUGUCGUGACAUGGGGAUAUCAUCACAAGGGGACAGUGUGACAUGGAGAUAUCGUGAUAUGGAGAUGUUGUGACAUGGGGAUGUCGUGACAUGGGGACAGUGUGACGUGGGGAUAUCAUCACAAGGGGACAGUGUGACGUGGGGAUGUCGUGACGUGGAGAUAUCGUGAUAUGGGGAUAUCGUGACAUGGGGAUGUUUUGAUAUGGGGAUGUCACGACAUGGGGACAGCGUGACGUGGGGAUGUCCUGACAUGAGAAUGGCGUGACAUGGGGAUGUCGUGACAUGGGGAUGAGGGUGACAUGGUGAUAUCGUGACGUGGGGAUGUCGUGACAUACAUGGGGAUGUCGUGUCCAGGAGAUCUCGUGACAUGGGGAUACUGUGACACGGUGAUGUCGUGUCAUGGGGGUGUCACGAUAUGGGGACAUUGUGACAUGGGAAUGUCGCGACAUGGGGAUAUCGUGUCAUGGGGAUGCCAUGUCAUGGAGAUGUCGCGACAUGGGGAUGUCGCGAUGUGGGGACGUCGCGAUGUGGGGACGUCGUGACACGGGGACAGCGUGCCGUGGGGAUGCCGUAACACGAGAAUGUCAUGACGUGGGGAUAUCGUGGCAUCGAUAUGUCACGACAUGGGGAUAUCGUGAGGUGGGGAUGGCGUAAGAUCGCGAUGUCGUGACAUGGGGAUAUCGUGAUAUGCAGAUUCCGUGACAUGGGGAUAUCGUGACAUGGGGACAGUGUGACAUGGGGAUGUCGCGACAUGAGGAUGCUGUGAGGUGGGGAUGUCGUGACACGGGGAUGAGGGUGACAUGGUGAUAUCGUGACAUGGGGACAUUGUGACAUGUCGAUGUCGUGACGUGGGGAUAUCAUGAUAUGGGGAAAGUGUGACUUGGGGAUGUCGCGUCAUGAGGAUGUCGCUAUAUGGGGAUGUCGUGACAUGGGGACAGUGGGACAUGGUGAUAUCAUGACAUGGGGAUGUCGUGACAUGGGGAUACUGUGACGUGGGGACAGUGUGACGUGGGGAUGUCGAGACAUGAGGAUGUCACAAUAUGGGGAUGUCGUGACAUGGGGACAGUGUGACGUGGGGAUGUCGUGACAUGGGGAUGUCAUGAUAUGGGGAUGUUGUGAUAUGGGGACAAUGUGACAUGGGGACAUUGUGAUGUGGGGAUGUCGUGACAUGGGGACAGUGUGACAUGGUGAUAUCGUGACAUGGGGAUGUCGUGUCAUGGGGAUAUCAUGAUAUGGGGGCAGUGUGACAUGGGGAUGUCAUGACAUGAGGAUGUCGUAAUAUGGGGAUGUUGUGACAUGGGGACACUGUGACAUGGGGAUGUCGUGACAUGGGGAUGUUGUGACGUGAUAUCGUGACAUGGGGACGUUGUGACAUGAGGAUGUCGCAAUAUGGGGAUGUCGUGACAUGGGGACAGUGUGACAUGGGGAUGUCGUGACGUGGGGAUAUCACGAUAUGGGGACAGUGUGACUUGGGGAUGUCGUGACAUGGGGAUGUCAUGAUAUGGGGAUGUUGUGAUAUGGGGACAAUGUGACAUGGUGAUAUCGUGACAUGGGGAUGUCGUGACAUGGGGACGUUGUGAAAAGGGGAUGUCGUGACGUGGGGAUGAGGGUGACAUGGUGAUAUCGUGACAUGGGGACGUUGUGACAUGUUGAUGUCGUGACGUGGGGAUAUCAUGAUAUGGGGACGUUGUGACAUGGUGAUAUCGUGACAUGGGGAUAUCAUGAUAUGGGGACAGUGUGAUGUGGGGAUGUCGUGAUAUGGGGACGUUGUGACAUGGGGAUGUCGUGACAUGGGGACAGUGUGACAUGGUGAUAUCGUGACAUGGGGAUACUGUGACGUGGGGACAGUGACGUGGGGAUGUCGUGACAUGGGGAUGUCAUGAUAUGGGGAUGUUGUGAUAUGGGGACAAUGUGACAUGGUGAUAUCGUGACAUGGGGAUGUCAUGACAUGGGGACAGUGUGAUGUGGGGAUGUCGUGACAUGGGGAUGUCGUGACAUGGGGAUGAGGGUGACAUGGUGAUAUCGUGACAUGGGGACAUUGUGACAUGUCGAUGUCGUGACGUGGGGAUAUCAUGAUAUGGGGACAGUGUGACAUGGGGAUGUCGCGACAUGAUGAUGUCGCAAUAUGGGGAUGUCGUGACAUGGGGACAGUGGGACAUGGUGAUAUCGUGACAUGGGGACGUUGUGACAUGGGGAUGUCGUAACAUGGGGAUGUUGUGACAUGGGGACAGUGUGACAUGGGGAUGUCGUGACGUGGGGAUAUCACGAUAUGGGGACAGUGUGACUUGGGGAUGUCGUGACAUGGGGAUGUCAUGAUAUGGGGAUGUUGUGAUAUGGGGACAAUGUGACAUGGUGAUAUCGUGACAUGGGGAUGUCAUGACAUGGGGACAGUGUGAUGUGGGGAUGUCGUGACAUGGGGAUGUCGUGACAUGGGGAUGAGGGUGACAUGGUGAUAUCGUGACAUGGGGACGUUGUGACAUGGCGAUGUCGUGACAUGGGGAUAUCAUGAUAUGGGGACAGUGUGACAUGGGGAUGUCGCGACAUGAGGAUGUCGCUAUAUGGGGAUGUCGUGACAUGGGGACAGUGUGAUGUGGGGAUGUCGUGACAUGGGGACGUUGUGAAAAGGGGAUGUCGUGACAUGGGGAUGAGGGUGACAUGGGGACAGC